ACCUACGGGGCGCAGCAGUGGGGAAUAUUGCACAAUGGGGGAAACCCUGAUGCAGCAACGCCGCGUGAAGGAAGACGGUUUUCGGAUUGUAAACUUCUGUUCUUAGUGAAGAAUAAUGACGGUAGCUAAGGAGCAAGCCACGGCUAACUACGUGCCAGCAGCCGCGGUAAUACGUAGGUGGCAAGCGUUGUCCGGAAUUACUGGGUGUAAAGGGAGCGCAGGCGGGGAGCCAAGUCAGCUGUGAAAACUACGGGCUUAACUUGUAGACUGCAGUUGAAACUGGUUUUCUUUAGUGACGUAGAGGU
rnacentral:rRNA from 1 species